rnacentral:rRNA from 1 species
UGACGCUGGCGGAUGCUUUCACAUGCAAGUCGAACGGCAGCACGGACUUCGGUCUGGUGGCGAGUGGCGAACGGGUGAGUAAUAUAUCGGAACGUAUCCAAUAAUGGGGGAUAACUAGUCGAAAGAUUAGCUAAUACCGCAUACGCCCUGAGGGGGAAAGCUGGGGAUCUUCGGACCUAGCGUUAAUGGAGCGGCCGAUAUCUGAUUAGCUAGUAGGUGAGGUAAGAGCUCACCUAGGCGACGAUCAGUAGCUGGUCUGAGAGGACGACCAGCCACACUGGAACUGAGACACGGUCCAGACUCCUACGGGAGGCAGCAGUGGGGAAUUUUGGACAAUGGGCGCAAGCCUGAUCCAGCCAUUCCGCGUGAGUGAAGAAGGCCUUCGGGUUGUAAAGCUCUUUCGCAAGGGAAGAAAACUUAGUCUCUAACAUAGACUGAGGCUGACGGUACCUUGAUAAGAAGCACCGGCUAACUACGUGCCAGCAGCCGCGGUAAUACGUAGGGUGCGAGCGUUAAUCGGAAUUACUGGGCGUAAAGCGUGCGCAGCGGCCUGAUAAGUCAGAUGUGAAAUCCCCGAGCUCAACUUGGGGAACUGCGUUUGAAACUAUCAAGCUAGAAUAUGUCAGAAGGGGGGUAGAAUUCCACGUGUAGCAGUGAAAUGCGUAA